rnacentral:piRNA from 1 species
UCCGUAGUGUACUGGUUAUCACGUUCGCCUG